GUGCUCACGUCAGCAGCACAUAUACUAAAAUUGGAAUGAUACAGAGAUUAGCCUGGCCCCUGUGCAAGGAUGACAGGCAAAAUCAUGAAGCAGGCCAUAUUUUU
ensembl:snRNA U6 U6 spliceosomal RNA